UGGCGGACGGGUGAGUAACGCGUGGGGAACCUGCCCUGUACCGGGGGAUAGCAGCCGGAAACGGCUGAUAAUACCGCAUAAGCGCACGAAUGUCGCAUGACAUGGUGUGAAAAACUCCGGUGGUAUAGGAUGGACCCGCGUCUGAUUAGCCGGUUGGUGGGGUAAAAGCCUACCAAAGCGAAGAUCAGUAGCCGAGUUGAGAGACUGACCGGCCACAUUGGGACUGAGACACGGCCCAGACUCCUACGGGAGGCAGCAGAC
rnacentral:rRNA from 1 species